rnacentral:rRNA from 1 species
GGCCAGCAGCCGCGGUAAUACGGAGGGGGCAAACGUUGUUCGGAAUUACUGGGCGUAAAGGGUGAGUAGGCGGUUCGAUAAGUCUUGCGUGAAAUCUCUCGGCUUACCCGGGAAACUGCGCUGGAAACUGUCGAGCUCGAGGAUGGAAGAGGCAGAUGGAAUUCCUGGUGUAGCGGUGGAAUGCGUAGAUAUCAGGAAGAACACUCGUGGCGAAGGCGGUCUGCUGGUCCAUCCCUGACGCUGAAUCACGAAAGCCAGGGGAGCAAACGGGAUUAGAUACCCCGGUAGUCCUGGCCCUAAACUGUGAACACUAGGUGUCGGGGGUAUCGACCCCCUCGGCGCCGCAGCUAACGCGUUAAGUGUUCCGCCUGGGGAGUACGACCGCAAGGUUGAAACUCAAAGGAAUUGACGGGGGCCCGCACA